GAUGAACGCUGGCGGCGUGCCUAAUACAUGCAAGUCGAGCGAACAGAUGAGGAGCUUGCUCCUCUGACGUUAGCGGCGGACGGGUGAGUAACACGUGGAUAACCUACCUAUAAGACUGGGAUAACUUCGGGAAACCGGCGCUAAUCCCGGAUAAUAUAUUGAACCGCAUGGUUCAUUAGUGAAAUACGGUUUUGCUGUCACUUCUAGAUGGAUCCGCGCCGCAUUAGCUAGUUGGUAAGGUAACGGCUUACCAAGGCAACGAUGCGUAGCCGAACUGAGAGGGUGAUCGGCCACACUGGAACUGAGACACGGUCCAGACUCCUACGGGAGGCAGCAGUAGGGAAUCUUCCGCAAUGGGCGAAAGCCUGACGGAGCAACGCCGCGUGAGUGAUGAAGGUCUUCGGAUCGUAAAACUCUGUUAUUAGGGAAGAACAAAUGUGUAAGUAACUAUGCACGUCUUGACGGUACCUAAUCAGAAAGCCACGGCUAACUACGUG
rnacentral:rRNA from 1 species